UACAUAGGGUGCAAGCGUUGUCCGGAAUUAUUGGGCGUAAAGAGCUCGUAGGUCGUUUGUUACGUCGGAUGUGAAAACCUGAGGCUCAACCUCAGGCCUGCAUUCGAUACGGGCAAACUAGAGUUUGGUAGGGGAGACUGGAAUUCCUGGUGUAGCGGUGGAAUGCGCAGAUAUCAGGAGGAACACCAAUGGCGAAGGCAGGUCUCUGGGCCAAUACUGACACUGAGGAGCGAAAGCCUGGGGAGCGAACAGG
rnacentral:rRNA from 1 species